UCUCGCAAGUGAACACAUUUUUAUUAUGCGGUUGUGCUACCAACUUCUAGAAAAAUGCGUUCACCAACAGUCGAUAAAGUUUAAUUUAAUGAUUAAUUUCAAUUUAUAGUUUGGUAAAAGACAGCAUCACUCAUGAGCUACUAGAAGAGAAAGAGAAACCUGGAUGGUAUCAUAUAAAGAAGGACUCUGCGCUUCAAGAUAUUGCUAUAGUCGUUGAAUCGGUAACAAAGUCGGAGUCAACCAUUCCAAUUGCAAACUUAAUUGAAGCUCGAGCCCAACUUUACAUGGAACCUUUGACUUUCGUGACUGAUUACUCUUCAUAUCUUCUGGCAAUGGCAUGUAAUAAAAAUGGAGGUAAGACAUAGAAUAUAUUAUGAUUAAAAACUAACAUCGUCAGUGAGCCAUACAAAGUAACUUUUUCAUACUUCACAAGAAACCGUUGCGUGGAUUAACACUCGCGAUCGCACUCCAAACCACGCGGAGAAAAGGAUAUUGAGAAUAUUAGCAAGAUUUCAUGGAAUAAAAAAGAAGAUGUACGAGACGAAAUGUAACGAGAUCAAGUUAGUUGCAACCGCAAGCAACGACGAAUAGCACGGAUAUAUAGACAGGCAAGGCUCAAGAUUAAAAAACGGAACGUCUUUAUUUUCAACUUUUUAAAUGCUUAAAUAUGAAACAACACUCUCAUCUUAUAUAUAUGCCUGUUUUUGAACAAAAAGGGGACCUAUGGAUUUCUUUGCUUACUUUUUGUUUCUUUGAAAACGAUCUCAUACAUUCAAUACUCAGAGAUGAUAGAAGUCACUAAUUAUUGUAAAUAGUUUUUUCGAAUUCUACAAGGCCCGAAAAUUCAUCCAACGUUUUGCUAUUUUAGAUUGGUUUUUGAGAACACUUUGCUCUCGUGUCAUACCUAUUUAUAGUGAUAUCAACAAUUGAAACUCAAAUUCUACACUAAUUCGAAAGAA